rnacentral:rRNA from 1 species
GAUGAACGCUGGCGGCGUGCCUAAUACAUGCAAGUCGAGCGAACAGAUGAGGAGCUUGCUCCUCUGACGUUAGCGGCGGACGGGUGAGUAACACGUGGAUAACCUACCUAUAAGACUGGGAUAACUUCGGGAAACCGGAGCUAAUGCCGGAUAAUAUUUUGAACCGCAUGGUUCUAUAGUGAAAGAUGGUUUUGCUGUCACUUAUAGAUGGAUCCGCGCCGCAUUAGCUAGUUGGUAAGGUAACGGCUUACCAAGGCAACGAUACGUAGCCGACCUGAGAGGGUGAUCGGCCACACUGGAACUGAGACACGGACCAGACUCCUACGGGAGGCAGCAGUAGGGAAUCUUCCGCAAUGGGCGAAAGCCUGACGGAGCAACGCCGCGUGAGUGAUGAAGGUCUUCGGAUCGUAAAACUCUGUUAUUAGGGAAGAACAAAUGUGUAAGUAACUAUGCACGUCUUGACGGUACCUAAUCAGAAAGCCACGGCUAACUACGUG